AUUGAACGCUGGCGGCAUGCCUUACACAUGCAAGUCGAACGGCAGCACGGGAGCAAUCCUGGUGGCGAGUGGCGAACGGGUGAGUAAAGUAUCGGAACGUGCCCAGUCGUGGGGGAUAACGUAUCGAAAGUUACGCUAAUACCGCAUACGAUCUAUGGAUGAAAGCGGGGGAUCGCAAGCCCUCGCGCGAUUGGAGCGGCCGAUAUCAGAUUAGGUAGUUGGUGGGGUAAAGGCUCACCAAGCCGACGAUCUGUAGCUGGUCUGAGAGGACGACCAGCCACACUGGGACUGAGACACGGCCCAGACUCCUACGGGAGGCAGCAGUGGGGAAUUUUGGACAAUGGGCGAAAGCCUGAUCCAGCCAUGCCGCGUGCAGGAUGAAGGCCUUCGGGUUGUAAACUGCUUUUGUACGGAACGAAAAGGUUUGGGCUAAUAAGCUGAGCUCAUGACGGUACCGUAAGAAUAAGCACCGGCUAACUACGUGCCAGCCGCCGCCGUAA
rnacentral:rRNA from 1 species